rnacentral:tRNA from 1 species
GCCGGGGUGGCGGAACUGGCAUACGCGCAGGUUUCAAAAACCUGUGAGAGCAAUCUCAUGAGGGUUCAAUUCCCUCCCCUGGCA